rfam:Citrus clementina cultivar Clemenules unplaced genomic scaffold scaffold_3, whole genome shotgun sequence.
GGAUUUUUGGUUCAAUGAGAGAAAUCUAACACUUACAAUGUUGAAUGUAAGAGUUCGAACCUCCAUAAAAUCUU